GAAAAGAAACCAACCGGGAUUGCCUUAGUAACGGCGAGUGAAGCGGCAAAAGCUCAAAUUUGAAAUCUGGUACCUUCGGUGCCCGAGUUGUAAUUUGGAGAGGGCAACUUUGGGGCCGUUCCUUGUCUAUGUUCCUUGGAACAGGACGUCAUAGAGGGUGAGAAUCCCGUGUGGCGAGGAGUGCGGUUCUUUGUAAAGUGCCUUCGAAGAGUCGAGUUGUUUGGGAAUGCAGCUCUAAGUGGGUGGUAAAUUCCAUCUAAAGCUAAAUAUUGGCGAGAGACCGAUAGCGAACAAGUACAGUGAUGGAAAGAUGAAAAGAACUUUGAAAAGAGAGUGAAAAAGUACGUGAAAUUGUUGAAAGGGAAGGGCAUUUGAUCAGACAUGGUGUUUUGUGCCCUCUGCUCCUUGUGGGUAGGGGAAUCUCGCAUUUCACUGGGCCAGCAUCAGUUUUGGUGGCAGGAUAAAUCCAUAGGAAUGUAGCUUGCCUCGGUAAGUAUUAUAGCCUGUGGGAAUACUGCCAGCUGGGACUGAGGACUGCGACGUAAGUCAAGGAUGCUGGCAUAAUGGUUAUAUGCCGCCCGUCUUGAAACACGGACCAAG
rnacentral:rRNA from 1 species